GUGCCUCGCUUCGGCAGGCACAUAUACUAAAAUUGGAUCGAUACAGAGAAGAUUAGCAUGGCCCCUGCGAAAGGAUGACACGCAAUCCGUGAAGCGCUCCAUAUUUUC
rnacentral:snRNA from 1 species